ensembl:misc_RNA Metazoa_SRP Metazoan signal recognition particle RNA
GCUGGCCGUGGUGGCACACACCUGUAGUUCCAGCUACUCGGGAGUCUGAGGUAGGAGGAUCACUUGAGCCCAGGAGUUCUGGGCUGUAGUGCACUAUGCUGAUCAGGUGUCUGCACUAAGUUUGGCAUCAAUAUGGUGACCUCCCGGGAGCAGGGGACCACCAAGUUGCCUAAGGAGGGGUGAACCGGCCCAGGUCAGAAACGGAGCAGGUCAAAACUCCUGUGCUGAUCAGUGUGAGAUUGCACCUGUGAAUAGCCACUGCACUCCAGCCUGGGCAACAUAUCAAGACCCCAUCUCUA